GAGUUUGAUCCUGGCUCAGAUUGAACGCUGGCGGCAGGCCUAACACAUGCAAGUCGAGCGGUAGAGAGAAGCUUGCUUCUCUUGAGAGCGGCGGACGGGUGAGUAAUGCCUAGGAAUCUGCCUGGUAGUGGGGGAUAACGCUCGGAAACGGACGCUAAUACCGCAUACGUCCUACGGGAGAAAGCAGGGGACCUUCGGGCCUUGCGCUAUCAGAUGAGCCUAGGUCGGAUUAGCUAGUUGGUGAGGUAAUGGCUCACCAAGGCGACGAUCCGUAACUGAUCUGAGAGGAUGAUCAGUCACACUGGAACUGAGACACGGUCCAGACUCCUACGGGAGGCAGCAGUGGGGAAUAUUGGACAAUGGGCGAAAGCCUGAUCCAGCCAUGCCGCGUGUGUGAAGAAGGUCUUCGGAUUGUAAAGCACUUUAAGUUGGGAGGAAGGGCAGUAAAUUAAUACUUUGCUGUUUUGACGUUACCGACAGAAUAAGCACCGGCUAACUCUGUGCCAG
rnacentral:rRNA from 1 species